GAUGAACGCUAGCGGCAGGCUUAACACAUGCAAGUCGAGGGGCAACACGGGUAGCAAUACCUGGUGGCGACCGGCGCAAGGGUGCGUAACGCGUGAGCAACAUGCCCUAUACAGGGGGAUAAUCCAGGGAAACUUGGUCUAAUAUCCCAUAGUAUUUAGAGGUGGCAUCACCACUAAAUUAAAGCUUCGGUGGUAUAGGAUUGGCUCGCGUGACAUUAGCUGGAUGGUGGGGUAACGGCUCACCAUGGCGAUGAUGUCUAGGGGUUCUGAGAGGAAGACCCCCCACACUGGGACUGAGACACGGGCCCAGACUCCUACGGGAGGCAGCAGUGAGGAAUAUUGGACAAUGGAUGGAAAUCUGAUCCAGCCAUGCCGCGUGCAGGAAGACGGCCCUAUGGGUUGUAAACUGCUUUUAUAUGGGAGCAAUAAGGUUUACGCGUAGACCGAUGAGAGUACCAUAUGAAUAAGCAUCGGCUAACU
rnacentral:rRNA from 1 species